rnacentral:tRNA from 1 species
GGCUCCGGGGGAUUAUGUUUCCGGAUUUUCCCCAGAUUUUCCCCCGGAGUACAAAUGCAGCUCAAAACAAGCUGUGAUCUUCCGGCUCCUAAGGGGAAGGUCGUACGUUCGAAUCGUAUCGGGGCCGCCA